rnacentral:lncRNA from 1 species
CACAGCAGCCAAGUUUAUUGAUGCUGGGGCAAUCACAAUUGGUUGGUUGGUUUGAGAUAGGGUCUCACUUUGUCAUCCAGACUGGAGUGCAGUGGCACAAUCACAGUUCACUACAGCCUCAACCUCCCGGGCUCAAGCGAUCCUCCCACCUCAGCCACCUGAGUAGCUGGGACUACAGAUGCAUGCCACCAUGCCCAGCUAAUUGUUUGAUAUUUUGUAGAGACCGGGUGUUGCAAUGUACCCAAGCUGGUCGUGAACUCCUGAGCUCGAG